rnacentral:rRNA from 1 species
UGGGGAAUUUUGGACAAUGGGCGAAAGCCUGAUCCAGCAAUGCCGCGUGUGUGAAGAAGGCCUUCGGGUUGUAAAGCACUUUUGUCCGGAAAGAAAUCCUUGGCUCUAAUACAGUCGGGGGAUGACGGUACCGGAAGAAUAAGCACCGGCUAACUACGUGCCAGCAGCCGCGGUAAUACGUAGGGUGCAAGCGUUAAUCGGAAUUACUGGGCGUAAAGCGUGCGCAGGCGGUUUGCUAAGACCGAUGUGAAAUCCCCGGGCUCAACCUGGGAACUGCAUUGGUGACUGGCAGGCUAGAGUAUGGCAGAGGGGGGUAGAAUUCCACGUGUAGCAGUGAAAUGCGUAGAGAUGUGGAGGAAUACCGAUGGCGAAAGGCAGCCCCCUGGGCCAAAUACUGACGCUCAUGCACGAAAGCGUGGGGAGCAAAACAGGAUUAGAUACCCUGGUAGUCCACGCCCUAAAACGAUGUCAACUAGUUGUUGGGGAUUCAUUUCCUUAGUAACGUAGCUAACGCGUGAAGUUGACCGCCUGGGGGAGUACGGUCGCAAAGAUUAAAAACUCAAAUGAAUUGACGGGGUCAUAGCUGUUUCCU